GCAAAGGACGGUACAGGAGCUUCAGUUUCCUGUACCUGGCAGGACUGACAGGAAGUGCUCUCUGUGUGUCCUUCCAGUCAGUCCGGCCGGGUACAGGAAACUGAAUCUCCUUUACCGCAGUCCAUUCUCCUCCACUUGACCACGCUACACAGAGUGACUGGUAGUGGGAGUGCUCUGUGUUUCCUUCCUGCCGGUCACUCGAUUCUUGCUCACCCAG